rnacentral:rRNA from 1 species
AUUGAACGCUGGCGGCAGGCCUAACACAUGCAAGUCGAACGGAUGCACGGAGCUCGCCCCUGGAUCCAGCGGCGGACGGGUGAGUAAUGCCUAGGAACCUGCCUGGUAGUGGGGGAUAACGCCCGGAAACGGGCGCUAAUACCGCGUACGUCCUGAGGGUGAAAGCGGGGGACCUUCGGACCUCACGCUAUCAGAUGAGCCUAGGUCGGAUUAGCUAGUUGGUGGGGUAAAGGCCUACCAAGGCGACGAUCCGUAACUGGUCUGAGAGGAUGAUCAGUCACACUGGAACUGAGACACGGUCCAGACUCCUACGGGAGGCAGCAGUGGGGAAUAUUGGACAAUGGGCGCAAGCCUGAUCCAGCCAUGCCGCGUGUGUGAAGAAGGUCUUCGGAUUGUAAAGCGCUUUAGGUUGGGAAGAAGGGCAGUAAGUUAAUACCUCGGUGUGUUGACGUUACCGAAAGAAUAAGCACCGGCUAACUACGUG